AGUUAAAAUUCACCUCAUUCACACCUGAGGAUGUCAGUGUUAGAAUUAUCAAAGACCCGUGUUGUAGCGCCAUCUGUCAUCCAGAAAUGGAAACAGGGGAGGAGGAUAAAAUUAAGUUGCAGAGACCCAGGCUCCCAGCAGCUGCUUAAGAUGGUAAUAAUUAUUGUGAGGAGAGGAAUCAAGAAUCCAAGGAAUCACUGAUCAGAAAUUGGAGGCACAUUAGGUUAAGGAACUUGCCCCAAACCACAGAGGAAAUGGCAAGAUUGGGAAAUCAGCCCAGGCUUCCAUACUUCACAUAUCUUAUUCCUCAGUAUGAAAACAAACUGCCAACAGAAUGAUGAAAAAUGUAAGAAGAUGUGUAUAUCAAAGUUGAUGAAACUUAAAACUGAUGUUUGAAGUGGUUUCUAAAAAGAGCAAUAAUUUUUGAGAGGACUCUUGGAGAAUGCAUAGUUAACUUGGAUCCAGCAAGGUGAGAUUCCCCUCGAAGAAGGAAAGAAUGGGUGUAAAAGAGGUGGGAAGGAGCCCUAUGUGUCACAGUGAUUUACUAAUAGACUGGAGGCCUGGGAAGGAGCAGGACUCACACUGUGGUGCUGAAUCCCUAGGGGAGCGUAUUCAGAUUCAAAUCCUAUUCAUAUUUGCAGAAAUAGGGGGAUUAUAGUGAAGGUAGCAAGACUAAAGAUGAGAGAUGAGGGAAAUUGAAAUAGCCUUUUUUUGGUUUUAAACUUCAGUUAAAAGAGGACUUCCUCUGUCUCUCUCUAUCUGCUGCACUUGAGGAAGGUCGGGGGGAUAAGCACAAAUCAAGCUUCCACAAUCUCUGAGAUUUCAGUCCUUGGAGAUUUAGAAGACUAAACUGUGGGUAGAGUGCUGUGCUUAAGAAUUCCCAGGACAGGAAUCAGACCUGGAAUGGGACACAGGGAAAGUCUCUUGGGGGAGCACGUCUGAGGAAGCGCUCCUGUAAGGAGCAGUGAAGGAAAGAGAGGGAGAGGAGAAACAAGUCUGUCCUUGACAGGAUGUGAAAAGGCCAAUACAUUUGCGGAAAACAUGGGGAAGAGAGACUUGUGAAGAUGUCAGGGGUGUGAAAGACAGAGCUUGGUGGGACUGGGCAGGUGAGAGAGGGAAGGUCUAGAAGGAGACAGGGAAGCCCAUAGAGGCAGCCCUGUGUGUUGAGGAAUUUUGAAAGUCUGGGUCUUGGUCCUUGACAGUUAUCCUAAGCUUGUGAGGUCCGCCUGCGGGGAGACCAAACAGUGAUGAUGAUCCCUAUCCACUGGGGAGAUCUCUAAGAGUGGAAGGCCGAGAGGUUUCUGUUUCCUGGACCGGUAGUUUCCUUGAAUGCUGUGUUCACCAGUCUGUGUCCACCCUCACACCCUCUCCAUCCCACCCGAGUGUCGUGUCAUUUUGCACGUUGUAGACCGAACGGAUGCAUUAGUCUUAAGGUUCGGAGCGGCCGGCUCACAGCGCCACCUGGCGUCCACUUUCGGAAGCGGCGAGAACAGCUUUAAAACGAAAAGUGAGGUAAAGCUGGUCCUCAGCUGUGCACGAAGGAACCUAUCUGGGAGCAGACAGGUGAGGUCGGUAUUGGGCGCCCAGAUUUCUUGGUCUGGAGGUGAGAGGGGUUUUGCAGGCCUUUUUCACUGGCUCCUGGAUCCCGCUGUGAAUCUAUUCUUUUUGAGGCUCUUUGAUUUCCGGACCAAUCCUUGUGAUUUUCUGAGCGCUUCCAUCCUGCAUUCUUCAUCAGCUGUUUGGAGGGGUGAUGUAACAAUAGUUAGACAAAUCUCAAAUUGGGAAAUUAUUAAUAAUAGUUUUUAUACCAAGGAUGAAUAGUACUUAGCUUUAUUUAAUCAUUCUCAGCUUCGUGUUUUUUUCUUCCUGCCUUCAGCCCUUCCUCUGUCCCUCCCCCACCCUUUUUUUCUUGGCUUAUUGCUUCUAGCAAUGAUCCUCUCUGAGAAAACUAUUCGGGUCCCUUGGAGCCCUUCUCUGGAUUCAGCCUCAACAUCGAAGCAAUAAAGAUUUGAAAGAAACCUAACUUUCUAACAGCCCAAGCUGCUUCUCUAAAUUAAUCCUGGACGAUCUCCACCCCCAUUAAAGUGCAGGCCUGAGAAAACUCAGCCACAGGAAUUUAUCGUUUGUGCCAUUCAACUCCUGGUGACAGGCCCCAUCUCUGUGGGAGCCUAACUUUGAUAAGUGCUAGUUAACAAACCCAGAUAAAUUGCAAAGGAACAGCUCUCCUUCCCCACCCCCCUUUUGUAAUUUUCCACUUCCAGGAAUCUGCUGAGAGCCCCCACCCUGCCCCGCCCCCAUCCCCCUUUUCUUUCUUCCUUUAAAAUGCUCCUCCCUCUCAGGGUAAACAGAAGUGGAGUUCAGUUCACACUAGGUCCUUUCCAUAUUUCAACAGUGUAUUUCUGAUGAAAAUCUGUCCUAACCCUUUAACGUCUGAUUUGUUCAUCUUUGACAGUUUUUGGCUUCAGGGAUGGGAUCAGAAAGCACUACUGGACUCUCGGACAGACAGACCUCCCCGCGGCAUAGAGACCAUUUUCUGAUCUCCAGUGCUCUUGUCCAUUUUGAUUUCUGGUGGUUGAGACUGGAGCCUUGGACUUCUUGUGAAAAGUAUGUGCUGGAAUGGAACACCUUGCGAGCUCCUUGUUUUGAAGUAGGGUCAUUCUCUGAAUCCUGGCUCUUAUUUAAAAAUAUGAAAUAUAAAUGACAUGUAACAUUUUAUUGGUUUUAAGUGUUCAGCACAAUGAGAUGUAUAUGCCAU